CCUACGGGAGGCAGCAGUGGGGAAUAUUGGACAAUGGGCGAAAGCCUGAUCCAGCAAUGCCGCGUGAGUGAUGAAGGCCUUAGGGUUGUAAAGCUCUUUUACCAGGGAUGAUAAUGACAGUACCUGGAGAAUAAGCUCCGGCUAACUCCGUGCCAACAGCCGCGGUAAUACGGAGGGAGCUAGCGUUGUUCGGAAUUACUGGGCGUAAAGCGUACGUAGGCGGUUAUUCAAGUCAGAGGUGAAAGCCUGGAGCUCAACUCCAGAACUGCCUUUGAAACUAGAUAGCUAGAAUCUUGGAGAGGUGAGUGGAAUUCCGAGUGUAGAGGUGAAAUUCGUAGAUAUUCGGAAGAACACCAGUGGCGAAGGCGACUCACUGGACAAGUAUUGACGCUGAGGUACGAAAGCGUGGGGAGCAAACAGGAUUAGAUACCCUGGUAGUCCACGCCGUAAACGAUGAUAACUAGCUGUUCGGGCUCUACGAGCUUGAGUGGCGCAGCUACGACAUUAAGUUAGUCCGUCCGUCGGGAGGUACGGUCGCGAAGAAUUAAACUACAAGAAGUAGACGGCGNGAGACGUGCCGAACGGACGACGACGAGGGAGGUAGG
rnacentral:rRNA from 1 species